GUAGUCAUUAACUUUCAUAACUAGAGAAAAUAGAUAUAUUUCCUUAUUUAUUAAAGUAGAUAAGUAUAAAAGUGAAUUAAUGUAUUAUCACUUUCAUUAGUAUAAUAAUAGAGUCGAACAUUGAAAUUUAAAGAUCACACUACGCUUAAUUUUUUAACGUAAGUGUUGUGUUUUAGUGAUACAUUCACAAAUUGUUCUGCACUUAGGAAUUUGAGGAGGGAUGCAAAAACUAGUUGGGCAAUCUUCAUCAGAUUCGCAUGUAAUAAUUGCUAUGAUGUCGAAAAAUAAUUAAGGAAGGUUAGCAACAGAAAGUUUAUACAGUAAGAAAAGGUAAGAAAGAUGAAUAAGAUAAAAAGAAGGGUUAAUAGUGUUUUUCACCCCUGUAAUAUAUGUCAUUUUCGAUUUUCGUCCCUAUAAAAUUUUCGGUUUGAUUUUUGCAUCUAAAAUUUCCGAUUUUAUAGGGGCGAAAAUGACAUAUUAUAGGGGUAAAAAACACAAUUAACCCUAAAAAGAACAUUUGAAACGGUAAGAAAAGGUACUUACAGCAGUUCGUUACAUAAAGAAAAAUGGAAAGAAAGAUGAUCGCGGCAUAAAAAACAUUUAAAAUUUUAGUCAUUUUGUAU
rnacentral:lncRNA from 1 species